CAGGGCUUUCGUCUUGUAAUUGGAAUGAUGGUGAUGUACAACCUCACCAGAGUACCAAUUGGAGGGCAAGUCUGGUGCCAGCAGCCGCGGUAAUUCCAGCUCCAAUAGCGUAUAUUAAACUUGUUGCAGUUAAAAAGCUCGUAGUUGUAUUUCGGCCUCGCGUUUUUUCCCUCUUUUUGGGUCUUUUCGCUGGCUUUUUUUUUACUUUGAGAAAAUUAGAGUGUUUCAAGCAGACUUUUGUCUUGAAUACUUCAGCAUGGAAUAAUAGAGUAGGACCUUGGUUCUAUUUUGUUGGUUUUGAGCCUUGGUAAUGGUUAAUAGGAACGGUUGGGGGCAUUCGUAUUUAACUGUCAGAGGUGAAAUUCUUAGAUUUGUUAAAGACGAACCACUGCGAAAGCAUUUGCCAAGGACGUUUUCAUUAAUCAAGAAC
rnacentral:rRNA from 1 species